AACUUUUGGCAACGGAUCUCUUGGCUCUCGCAUCGAUGAAGAACGCAGCGAAAUGGGAUAAGUAAUGUGAAUUGCAGAAUUCAGUGAAUCAUCGAAUCUUUGAACGCACCUUGCGCUCCUUGGUAUUCCGAGGAGCAUGCCUGUUUGAGUGUCAUUAAAUUCUCAACCUUCCAGCUUUUAUGAGCUUGGUUAGGCUUGGAUGUGGGGGUUGCGGGCUUCAUCAAUGAGGUCGGCUCUCCUUAAAUGCAUUAGCGGAACUUUUGUGGACCGUCUAUUGGUGUGAUAAUUAUCUACGCCGUGGAUGUGAAGCAGCUUUAUGAAAUUUUGCUUCUAACCGUCCAUUGACUUGGACAAUUUUGACAAUUUGACCUCAAAUCAGGUAGGACUACCCGCUGAACUUAAGCAUAUCAAUAAGCGGAGGCU
rnacentral:misc_RNA from 1 species